AGACAAACACACCACCACACCUCCACCUACAUCCACACCUCCACCUACAUCCUCCUCUCCUCUUGGUUCCACCUCCAUCACUCUUCCUCCAUCACUCUCGCCUCCUGUUCUCUCUGUGUUGUCAUGUGUUGGAUCAGUCUGUGUUGUGGUUCUACUGGUGUUACUGGUUCUGCUGGUGAGACAAUGUGUUCACAGGAAACCUGAAGUCUGCUCAUCAGUGAGAACAGAAGACGUCAGUUAUGGACAAAUUAUCAUCAAAGACAAGAAAGCAAGGUCAAGGACGAGAGAAAGUAAUCCAGCUGUAAUCUACUCAGCAAUAAGGGCUGAAGAUGUUAGUUAUGGACACAUAACCAUCACACCAAAGAUGAAAAGAGACUUUGAACCAGAGCCAGACGUCGUCUACUCUUCACUGAAGUAGUCCACCAGUCCAACCACUGACGUCUAACUGGCCACCCCAGCACCUCAAGAGUACAACUAUUCAUUAACAUAUUUUUUUAUGUUUUGUUUUUUUGUUUCUUUGUUUAUUUUUUCAUUUAUGUAGACUCAUAUGAUUUUUAAAAAAUAUGUUAAUAUAUUCCAUAGGUACAGUAAGUUAAUUGUUGUUUAUAAUACAAAUAUGAAUUCUCAGACUCUUUGCUCUUGUUCUCACAGCAGUAAGUUAGUUUCUCUGCAAUAUUAAUAAACUUUUG
ensembl:lncRNA